rnacentral:rRNA from 1 species
UACGUAGGGUGCGAGCGUUAAUCGGAAUUACUGGGCGUAAAGCGUGCGCAGGCGGUUUUGUAAGCCAGAUGUGAAAUCCCCGGGCUUAACCUGGGAAUGGCAUUUGGGACUGCAAGGCUGGAGUGCGGCAGAGGAGACUGGAAUUCCUGGUGUAGCAGUGAAAUGCGUAGAUAUCAGGAGGAACACCGAUGGCGAAGGCAGGUCUCUGGGCCACUACUGACGCUGAGAAGCGAAAGCAUGGGGAGCGAACAGG